AAUGUUUGACGCCGUUGACUUUUUUGAAAAUGUUUGACCGUUCGUCUUAUUUAAAAAAUUUAAGUAAUUAUUAAUUAUUUUCCUAUCAUCUGAUUUAUUAUUAAAUAUACUUUUAUAUAUACAUAUAGUUUUACACAUUUCAUAAAAGUUUUUGAAUAAGACGAACGGUCAAAUAUGUUUAAAAAAACCAACGGCGUCAAACAUU
rfam:Oryza nivara chromosome 6, whole genome shotgun sequence.